GAAGCCUGCUAGGCCGUCGCUGGUGCAAUUGUGGAAACACAGCACUGGAGGAACGUCCGGACUGCACAGGGCAGCGCAGGAGCUAACGGCUCUCCAGUGAAAACCGCAAGGCAUAAGCUGAGGAUCAGAGCAACAGAGACGAGCCAGUUCAGUCUGGGUGAAACGGGCAAUCUCUGCGCGCAGCAAUACCAAAUAGGCACACGAUGAACUGGCUCCGGCGAGUGUGCGGGUAGGUAGCAUUGAGCUGGUGGGGCGACUCCCAGCCCAGAGGAAUGACGGUCACGCUUGGGGCAACCCAAGUGCACAGAAUCCGGCGUAUCGGCAGGCUUCACAC
rnacentral:RNase_P_RNA from 1 species